UACGUAGGGGGCGAGCGUUGUCCGGAAUCAUUGGGCGUAAAGCGCGUGUAGGCGGCCCGGUAAGUCCGCUGUGAAAGUCCAGGGCUCAACCCUGGGAUGCCGGUGGAUACUGUCGGGCUCGAGUCCGGAAGAGGCGAGUGGAAUUCCUGGUGUAGCGGUGAAAUGCGUAGAGAUCCGGAAGAACACCGGUGGCGAAGGCGGCCUGCUGGGCAGUAGCUGACACUGAUGCGCGACAGCGUGGGGAGCAAACAGG
rnacentral:rRNA from 1 species